AUUGAACGCUGGCGGCAGGCCUAACACAUGCAAGUCGAGCGGAUGAUGGGAGCUUGCUCCUGGAUUCAGCGGCGGACGGGUGAGUAAUGCCUAGGAAUCUGCCUGGUAGUGGGGGACCACGUUCCGAAAGGAACGCUAAUACCGCAUACGUCCUACGGGAGAAAGCAGGGGACCUUCGGGCCUUGCGCUAUCAGAUGAGCCUAGGUCGGAUUAGCUAGUUGGUGAGGUAAUGGCUCACCAAGGCGACGAUCCGUAACUGGUCUGAGAGGAUGAUCAGUCACACUGGAACUGAGACACGGUCCCGACUCCUACGGGAGGCAGCAGUGGGGAAUAUUGGACAAUGGGCGAAAGCCUGAUCCAGCCAUGCCGCGUGUGUGAAGAAGGUCUUCGGAUUGUAAAGCACUUUAAGUUGGGAGGAAGGGCAGUAAGCGAAUACCUUGCUGUUUUGACGUUACCGACAGAAUAAGCACCGGCUAACUCUGUGCCAGCAGCCGCCGUAA
rnacentral:rRNA from 1 species